AUGGCUCUCCCAUCAUCUAGUUUAAUGUUUAUUACUUAUCGGGAGCUGAAUAUGUCCCAUGGAAAUUUCUUUCCAGAUUUUGGAAGAAUUUUCAUAUUAACAGAGGUUGCUCAGCGGUCAUACUCAAUAACCAAUGCACAGACUAAGGAAGUAGAAAAUCAACAAGUGGUGCCUAUUCAGUCUGAUCCGAAAAGUAGAAAAUCAACAAGUGGUGCCAACAAUUUGCAGAGAGCUGCAGCUUCACCGAGAAAGCGAAAUAAUAGAAUUUUACUAAAGAGGGGUAUCCUCUUAUUAAACAACAGAAAGUGA
rnacentral:rRNA from 1 species